rnacentral:rRNA from 1 species
GAAGCCCACAAUCUAGCCCAUUUCUUCCUAUUAACUUUCUCUUCUUCCCCCAAAAAAAUAAAACAUUCUCAAUCUCAAGUAGAUGCGAUCAAAAAAGAACUUGGAGCUUCAUACACAGUACCGCAAGGGAAAGAUGAAAUAGAAAUUAAACAAAUAUUUAAGCACAAAAAAGCAAAGAUUUCAACUUGUACCUUUUGCAUCAUGGUCUAACUAGUCCAUCCAGGCAAAAAGAUUUUUAGUCUGAUCUCCCGAAACUAAGUGAGCUACUCCGAGGCAACCCUAGAGUAAACCCGUCUCUGUGGCAAAAGAGUGGGAAGACCUCCGAGUAGAGGCGACAUACCUAUCGAACUUAGUGAUAGCUGGUUACUCAAGAAAAGAAUUUUAGUUCAACCUUAAAGAAACCCAACAACUUAAUUAAGUUCACCUAACCCUUUAAGAUCUAUUCAAUAAGGGUACAGCCUUAUUGAAAAAGGAUACAACCUAAAAUACAGGUUAAUGAUUUUCUAAGAAAACAGGAGCUAGUUGGCUUAAAAGCAGCCACCUUUUUAAUAGCGUCAAAGCUUUCUCCCCCCCCCCCCUAACUCUCCAAUACCCCUUUCUUCUCAGAACCCGAUUUUACUAUUGAGUCAUCCUAUAUUUUUAUAGAAGAGUUUAUGUUAGAACUAGUAACACAGAAUAAUUUCUCUCUAUGUAAGUGUAAAUCAGAUUGAAUACAUCACUGAUAACUACUCAGAAAUGAAAAUAAUGUAGCAACUUCACUAGAAAACCCUACUUUUUCACCCUGUUAACCUAACACAAGAACAUAAGAAAAAGAUUUAAAGACAAAGAAGGAAUUCGGCAAAUAAGGGUCCCGCCUGUUUACCAAAAACAUCGCCUAUUGAAUAAUAUACUAGGUAAUGCCUGCCCAGUGACUUUAAGUUUAACGGCCGUGGUAUUUUAACCACGCAAAGGUAGCGUAAUCACUUGUUUUUUAAAUAAAGACUUGUAUGAAUGGCUUCACGAGGACCUAACUGUCUCCUCUGUCCAAUCAGUGAAACUGAUCUCCCCGUGCAGAAGCGAGGAUUUAACCAUAAGACGAGAAGACCCUAUGGAGCUUUAAACUUAUUUCAACAAUUUCAUUCUUAUUUCCCUCUAAUUGAACUAAAAUCUAAUUGAAUUCGCUUGAUUAAAGUUUUAGGUUGGGACGACCAUGGAGAAAAAAAUAUCCUCCCUGAUGAUUUUAAACCAAGAGCCUCAGCUCUAAGUAAUAAGACACUUAACUGCUAUUGACCCAUUUUAUGAUCAACGAACCAAGUUACCCUAGGGAUAACAGCGCAAUCCAUUUCAAGAGUCCUUAUCGACAAAUGGGUUUACGACCUCGAUGUUGGAUCAGGGCACCCAAG